rnacentral:misc_RNA from 1 species
GAUGAAGAACGUAGCGAAAUGCGAUAAGUAAUGUGAAUUGCAGAAUUCAGUGAAUCAUCGAAUCUUUGAACGCACAUUGCGCCCGCUAGUAUUCUGGCGGGCAUGCCUGUCCGAGCGUCAUUUCAACCCUCAAGCCCCCGGGCUUGGUGUUGGGGAUCGGCGAGCCUCCGCGCCCGCCGUCCCCUAAAUCUAGUGGCGGUCUCGCUGUAGCUACCUCUGCGUAGUAGCACACCUCGCACUGGGAAACAGCGCGGCCACGCCGUUAAACCCCCAACUUCUGAACGUUUGACCUCGGAUCAGGUAGGAAUACCCGCUGAACUUAAGCAUAUCAAUAAGCGGAGGA